UGGGGAAUCUUCCGCAAUGGACGAAAGUCUGACGGAGCAACGCCGCGUGAGUGAUGACGGCCUUCGGGUUGUAAAGCUCUGUUAAUCGGGACGAAUGGUUCUUGUGCAAAUAGUGCGAGGAUUUGACGGUACCGGAAUAGAAAGCCACGGCUAACUACGUGCCAGCAGCCGCGGUAAUACGUAGGUGGCAAGCGUUGUCCGGAAUUAUUGGGCGUAAAGCGCGCGCAGGCGGAUUGGUCAGUCUGUCUUAAAAGUUCGGGGCUUAACCCCGUGAUGGGAUGGAAACUGCCAAUCUAGAGUAUCGGAGAGGAAAGUGGAAUUCCUAGUGUAGCGGUGAAAUGCGUAGAUAUUAGGAAGAACACCAGUGGCGAAGGCGACUUUCUGGACGAAAACUGACGCUGAGGCGCGAAAGCCAGGGGAGCGAACGGGAUUAGAUACCCCGGUAGUCCUGGCCGUAAACGAUGGGUACUAGGUGUAGGAGGUAUCGACCCCUUCUGUGCCGGAGUUAACGCAAUAAGUACCCCGCCUGGGGAGUACGGCCGCAAGGUUG
rnacentral:rRNA from 1 species